AGAGAGUUUUAUUCUUGCUUUUUCGUUCCUUAUUUAUUUGUUCUAUAUGUAAGUUCGUGCGUGAUUGAUUUAUUUGUUCUAAAUGGGUUAAAGGAGUAAUUGAUUUAAAGGGAGGUAUUUCUCAUUAGUUAUUAUUGGUUGUUCAAGUAUUCUUGUAUUUAGCAAUAUAUUUUAGUUUCGGUUAAAUUUUGUGCCAGCAGCCGCGGUUAUACUUUGGAAGCGUUUGAACGUGUUUGGCAUUAAAGGUAGUUUGUAUUAUUUGUUUUGUUUAUAGAUUUUGUUUGUGUUGUUUUUAGGUGAAAUUUUUAUUGUUUUUGUUUUUCUAGUUUAUAAUUGGAGGCUAUGAAAUUUUAUUUUUAAACUAGGAUUAGAUACCCUAUUAUUUUAGAAUGUUAAUUAUUAUUUGCCUGAGUAGUAUUAGGUAUGUUCUUGAAACUUAAAGAAUUUGGCGGUAUCUCAUUCCGUUCAGAGGAAUCUGUCUCGUUAUCGAUAGUCCACGCUGGGCCUUACUUAGUUGUAUUUGGUUUGUAUACCGCCGUUUAUUGAUUAUCUUUUUAGGGGUUGUUAUAUAAUUUUCUAGUUUCUUUAUUUUGAUGUAUUUCAGGUCAAGGUGCAGCUUGUUUCUAAGUGGAAUGAUGGAUUACAUUGUUAUUUGUUUUGUGUGGAUUGUUGAUUUAAAUAUUGGCAUGAAAUUGGAUUUGGUUGUAAUAUUUUGUAGAUUGUUAGUAUGAUAAUAGGUUCUGGGAUAUGCACACAUCGCCCGUCGCUCUCGUUUGGUAUUAUGAUGAGAUAAGUCGUAACAAAGUGGUUGUACCGGAAGGUGCGGCUGGAUUGAU
rnacentral:ncRNA from 1 species